ensembl:lncRNA
AUAGAAGCAACGGACAACUGGAUCUUCAGUAAUACACAGAGGCAUGGUGGAAACUUGGCACGUGGUUCUGAUCACUACAAAUCAAAGAUUUCCAGUCCUGUGAAGAUAUGGGGAGAGUGGCAGUCCUCUCAGCAGUUUGGCAAAAUAAGAGCAACCUUCGGCAGGCUCAAAAUAAAUGUUAUGAAUAGCUGGAUUCUCGAGUUUGGUCAUACCUUUCCCUGAUAUUGCUUGCAACUCUUGGAUUUAGUUGUCAGCUUUAUGAGCUAGUAAAUUAUUGAGCAGUCUUUUCAGACAGCUAUUUAGGCUGACAAAAGCAGCCACUUUAUUGAGAAAGUACCUCCAUCUUGUAUGACAUAAAGAGAGAGACGUCUUUUUUCUAUAAGAACCUAGGAAGCAUGUGUGUGCCCUGCAAGUGCUUAUCUGAUCUCUAUGUCUCAUUGCACAACUAACCAACACUUGCCUUGGUUAGUUAUCUCCAAUGAGUAUAAUUAUUAAUAGAAACUCAAAAAAUAGCAUUUAGAGCAUGCUUAUCAGCAUCUUCAACAGCCUGAUAAGUUGGCAAGCAACAAAAUGACUUAGGGAAAGUUGUUCAUCCACAGUACCUUUAAAAAUAAAUGCAGGGUUUGUAAUAAACACUGUUGAUUUAUUUUUAUCUCUUAUCUUGAGCAGUUCCUUGCUAUGAAUAAGCAAUGAAACAGCAAGCCACUGAGCAACACUACUGGAAAAGAAAGCUUGAGAGCAACGUCAGAGCUUGUGGAUCUUAUUCCAUGCUCAUACACACAGAGAAAAUAAAUUGAUCAAAUUUACUUCACUUCUCCACUAUUCUGUUCCCUAUACAGCUGCUGAUACAGAAUAUUGGUUUGCAGAAGGAACAGAUAAAACUACAUCUGCCCUUGGUCUCUGGAAAUGAGAAGGAAAAAGGCAUGUGCAAAUCCGUUGCUUAAGCAAAAAAAACUGUUUCAUGCACAAGUUGAUAUUUUUCGAUGUGUCUUUUCUGCAGGAUUCAGGCAUGGCCAGCAAGGAAAAUUAGCACCAUAACUGAUUUAUUCAUUUCUAUUAAGUUGUUCUCUACAGAAUUAUAAUCACUGGGAAGAUAUAGUUACUUGCAGAGCUGAUUUGUUUAAUCCACUCAAAAGUACUUGGGAAAAAAAGCAUUUUUUCAUUCCUCUGAUUCCAAAGUGAGCUUAAAAAUUGGUAUUUACCUUUCAACUUCUUAAAUUCAGGCUAGAUGGAUUCCACCCUACGUUACCCCUAUUCAGGACAUUGAGCUCAAGGGUUAUAACAACUUCCAAACAGCUUCUAAGCGAAGGAAGAACACAGAAGAUAUUGUAACACAGAAUUGAAUUUCCAGUUAACAAAGUAAUUGGUUUUCCACAGCCUUGCAGUUAGGCAAGAAGCCCUUAGUCAGUGACUACAAAGCCAUUAACUGAUUCAUCCCAACCUCAACAAGUGCCUCGUCCUGGCAGAAGUGAGAACUGUGAAGAAGGAACAGUUAUAGGGCUCCGUCCAAAAUAUUGCCUUUCACAGGAUUUCAGCUGAGUACGGUUUCACCUCUGUAUUGAUUUGAUUCAUCAGCCUAGUGGUAGUAUCUCAAUAUAAAAAUAGGAACAGUGAUGAUGUCACCAGAGGCCUGAAGCUACCCACAUUGCAUGGUAGUAAGUUGUGUUGCCACAACUAAGAGCAGAAGUAUUCUCUUCCUAUUUCUUCAAGAGGAUCUAGAAUAUGAAGUAUUUUGAUGUAAUACUUUGUAUAAAUCCACUUAUCUUUCUGCUAUAGGCAAUGAGUAGUCUUGAGACAGAUGGAAGGAAAAGCCACCCUUGUGUUCGCAUCUAUCUCAGUAGAGCUUGUAAAACAUGCUUCUUUUCACUGUUUCCCAGGAAUUCUUCACUAUAGGAAGCAACACCCAGUUGCGAAGGUCUCCUUGUGUUGCUAGAGAAUGCCUUCACUUCACUUUUCUUCCACCUUUUCUCUGCUUUCUGAACUCCUGUGACGAAUUUCAGUUUCAUUUACACACUCACAAAGAUCUCUUAAAGAAUAAUAAAUGAAAUAAAGAAAAUGAUGACAAGAUCGGGAUCACUUUGCUUGAAAAGCUAGAAGGAAACAAGCCUAUUGAAAUGUAUGUAUUCAAGCAGCUUGUAAAUAAAUACAGAUAAGCUCUG